GACGAACGCUGGCGGCGUGCCUAACACCUGCAAGUCGAGCGAGCGGCGGACGGGUGAGUAAUGUAUGGGGACUGCCCGAUAGAGGGGGAUAACUACUGGAAAAGGCAGCUCAUACCGAAUAAUAUCGGCUAAUCCAUCUGGGGUUAGCUAGUAGGUGAGGUAAUGGCUCACCUAGGCGACGAUCCCUAGCUGGUAUGAGAGUAUGACCGGCCACACUGGGACUGAGACACGGCCCAGACUCCUGCGGAGGCAGCAGUGGGGAAUAUUGCACAAUGGGCGCAAGCCUGAUGCAGCCAUGCCGCGUGUAUGAAGAAGGCCCUAGGGUUGUAAAGUACUUUCAGUCGGGAGGCGUUACCGACAGAAGAAGCACCGGCUAACUCCGUGCCAGCAGCCGCGGUAAUUC
rnacentral:rRNA from 1 species